UGCGCAGUGAGACCGAGGAAUCCCCUCAUCUUUCGGUCAGACCAAAUGUCCACACUCACUGCAACAUGCAUCAUCUUUCGCUUGGAUUGCCUGGAUUUUUGCCUACAAUUGCUCCUGCUGUGUUCGCUUAAUCAAACAACUACAAAGACGCAUUAAAAAUAAUGCAACAAUAUCGAAACAGCUGCAACACCUGCAAUCUGAGGCAGAGAAUGAGUUUGAGCUGCCAGAAAAAGGAACAGGAAGCCAGUCCAUCGUCUCGGGGACUCUGAUGAUAGCGAGGAAGACCCGGGAAAUGGUGACCUCGCAUCUCAAGCCAAUUUCACUGGCAGACUCCACCGUCUCGCUGAGUGCCAGCAAGAGUCAUGAGUACACGUCAACUCAACUCCUCAACUGGAGAUAACUUUCUAGCACCUCACCAUGGGGAAGGACUUAUUCAUAUGACUUCACCAGCACCUGCAUUAAACAUGCAGAGAGUUACACAAGCCCUCAACAUGUGGCAGACAGAGGAGCCUGGAUCCCGCCUGGCCUACAGGCCAACAUGGCGUGGGGGAAGAAUGGCCGACAUUUCCUGCUCUGCGGCUGAGGUCCAGAUCCUUCUCCUGCUGGAAAUGAUUAAACACACCCAAGAUCAGCUGAUGGGGAAGGUCAACUUCUUGACCAAUCAUGUGUGCUUACGGACUGUAUCCCUGCAGACUGUAUUGAUCUACAUUGAUAUACAAUGUAUUUUUCAUGUUGAUUUAAUAAUAAAAAAAAAUAAAAAAAUUUGUGAGGCCCAGUACCAAUCGGUCCGGUCCAGUGAUUGGGGACCACUGCUAUAGAGCAUUAAAAUAAUCCAAGUGGAUUAGUUUAAUGCUAUAUAGCAUUUAGCUAGCUAAUCGUGGACUAGCUUAAUGCUACAUAGCAACGUGCAUUAGCAGCAUUUAGCAUAUAAAAGUCCGUUUUUUACAACAAUUUAACAACCUUAAUCCAGGGAAUUUAACCCGCAAGUUUAUCCACAAGUCAAAGACAGUGUGCACUCAAAUUAAUGGGAAUAUUGUCGCUUUCUCGGUCCGAAUCACUCUAGCUGCUGGUGGCCAUGAUUGUAAACAAUAAGAGGAUGUGAGGAGCUCUACAACCAGUGACGUCAUGCGCAUAUUGUCUGCUACUUCCGGUACAGGCAAGGCUUUUUUUGUUAGCGACCAAAAGUUGCGAACUUUAUCGUCGAUGUUCUGUACUAAAUCCUUUCAGCAAAAAUAUGGCAAUAACGCGAAAUGAUCAAGUAUGACACAUAGAAUGGACCUGCUAUUCCGGUUUAAAUAAGAACAUCUCAUUUCAGUAGCCCUGUAAGUGUUUGUGCAUACAAAUGUUUUAAAUUACAUUUUUCUCUAAGAUUAUACUUCUCCUCCUUUUUUGAGAAGAAUUGUUGUGUAUUCUUG